GAGUAGUGGCGAGGUACAGUCAAGACACUCACUAGUCUAAUAACCUAUGCAAUAUAGUAUACAAAAAUAAUAGGAAACAAAUAACAAUAAUGGCAACAAUAAUCAACUAGUGAUAUACACAACAGGGCAACAAGAACACCAUUUAUAUUGCUCAACAAAUGAUGAAUACAAGUACAACCAAUUAAUCAAGUCAUUCAAAUAUAAAUCUUUCGCCUAUAUGUUUGUCAAAUAAUAAUCUUCAGGAUAUAAUACUUUUCAAUAAAUAUAUUUCGAAUAUACUCCCUUCAAACAAAUAUUUUUCGAAUAAAAGUCACCCUAUGACACCUCAUUUCAAAAUCAUAAAAUAAGGGUCUCAGCCCACUUUCAUAUUUGCACAGCACCUCGUGCCAAUUUCCACAUAACAACCGCACGGACAACUCACUUGCCAAUAUCAUCAUCAUCAUUUACUCACGGCACCUCGUUCCUACAUUUCAUAUCACAACUGCACGGAUAAUUCAUGUGCCAAUAUUAUCAUUUUGUUCACUCACGGUACCUCGUGCCCACAUUUGAUUUCAUAAUCCGCCUGGCAAUAGCCACAAGCUCCCAAUUUCAACAUAGAUCAGACUAUUAUUAAUUUACCAACAACAAGACAAAUUGUGCAAGAUAUAAAAAUAAACACAAGGAAAAUCACAACAUCACAUGAAAAUUACCAACGCAAUACCCCACAUCAUCACAUAAAAAUUACCAACACAAUAACUCCACAUCAUCAUGUAUCAUCCGUGACAAUAGCCACCCUUAUCUCUUCUAUAGACACCCUUAUCCCUCCUCUAUGACAAUGUCAAUAGCCACUCUUAUCGCUCCAUAUAAUAGCCACCCUUAUUACUCCGCCCAGACAAUAUACCAACACACAUAUCCACAGUGAAAUGCCACCCUUAUAUCCUCAUAAUAAUAACUCGAAUCACACAAUAAUUUACACGGAAUAUUAUCACGACAACACAACACAAUCAAUUCCCAUCACAAUUUGCCAAAUGACCACAACCAGUUCCACUGAUACAGUAAAAUCAAUAAAUUUCUCAAAAAUAGCCCAAGGCUCCAUGCAACGUAUAUAAAACCUCAAAACAAUCAACAGAGAUGGAACAUAUCUAGUAUAGGUUAACGCCUUCAUUAAUCCAAUUUCUUGAUAAAUAUAUUAAUACCUCCAUUUAACUUAUUUAAUUAAUUAUUUGCAUACGGAAAAAUUCAUAAUAUAAUUAUUUUCAGGAAUUAUCAAAUCCACAAACACACAAAAUUUACGUAAAAUUCCAAGUCGCAAUCGCACCAAUUUAUCAAAUAAAUAUAAACUCAACAAACAAAGAUUGAGGCAUGACAAAUCACGGAUUUACUAAGUUUCCAUAAUUUUCAAAUUUAAUACAUAAGGGCGUCUACUUGACCCAUAUAAUUUGCACAUAUAAACCAAGUACAUACUCGUCACCUUGCGUACAUGGUUUUCAAUUACACAAUUUCCACAUAAGACUCAAUGCCUAAGGGGUAAUUCCCCCACUCAAAGUUAGACAAGAUACUUACCUCAAAACCGCGUAAUUUCUUACUACGCUAUGCCCUUGCCUCGUGAAUUGGUCUCCAAACGUCCCGAAUCUUUUGUAUAGCAAAGUUUUCUCCAGAUUUUGAUUAAGCAAGAACCACUUAAUACAGAAACAACAUUACUCAGAGAUGAACUAGAAACCAAAUCUGACAAUAGCACCUUGAUUGCAUUUCAAAUCUGGACCGAUAUCGCAGACCAUAUAACUUGAACAAUACCCACCGUAACGGCAACAUCAGUUGGAGUUCAAAUCUAGAGAUCUAGCCCAAAAUAUACCCUUAAUAUUCAACCCAUUUCUGAUUUCUAAUUCACUGAUAAUUUUGACAAAGAAAAUGAUAAAGGACGGUGGUGGGGGAGCUUUAAAAAUAGAAAAAGGGUGGUGUUGCAGUCAAGGAAAGUUCAUGGGAGGAGCUUUUGUUAAUUUGUGGUCCAAACAUUGGUUGAACAGAGGUGAUGGAAUUAAGUAGUUUCUAUGUUAAAAGUCUGUGAAAAGAACUGAAAUGUUGGUGGAGCUUUGUGUAGAUGGAGGAAAUUUUGCCAAAUGGAGAAGAUGAGCAAAAUUUUUCCUUUUCCCCUCUCUGUUCUCCAAACCGUGUGGACCCCAAUGCAACUUGAUUGUGUAUUAUCAAUGAUUUUUGUGAGUUGCGUGAGAUGUCAAG
rnacentral:lncRNA from 1 species